CACCAAAUCCCCUUCAUCAGUUCUGGUUUCUGGAGCAGUAACUGAGCUUCGAGGUCGAGCUGCAAGGAGGGCAACAAGCUAGUAAGUACACGCUCUUUGAAUGAGUUACGACUACGUAGAUGGAUCUAUAGAAUUGGCACUGCAUGAGCACAUUAGGAUGAAAAUAUGUGGGAGCCUUUUAAGCCCAAGAUCUUCUCACUAAGAAAUGGAAUCCAAGAAAUCAUAAUGAUGCUGGAGGGCUUACCUGUAACGUUCGUGAUAAUAUUUACACUUUUCUGGGCAGCAAGUGCCUUCAACUUGUUUCCAGCAGCUAAUAAAAGCAAGCUCUUCAUGUGCUGUUUUUGUUC